AUGAACCACUCGUAGACCGUGGCUCUUCCGCGCCGUCUACCCACCUGCCGACUGCUCGCCAGGUCUUGUUAGCC
rnacentral:sRNA from 1 species